rnacentral:rRNA from 1 species
UACAGAGGUCUCAACCGUUGUUCGGAUUCAUUGGGCGUAAAGGGUGCGUAGGCGGUCGCGCAAGUCGGAUGUGAAAUCUCAGGGCUCAACCCUGAAACUGCAUUCGAUACUGCGUGGCUAGAGUGCUGGAGAGGAGACUGGAAUUUACGGUGUAGCAGUGAAAUGCGUAGAUAUCGUAAGGAAGACCAGUGGCGAAGGCGGGUCUCUGGACAGUUCCUGACGCUGAGGCACGAAGGUCAGGGGAGCAAACGGG